AUUGAACGCUGGCGGCGUGCCUAACACAUGCAAGUCGAGCGGUAACAGGUGUAGCAAUACAUGCUGACGAGCGGCGGACGGGUGAGUAACGCUUGGGAAUCUGCCUAUUAGUGGGGGACAACCCGGGGAAACUCGGGCUAAUACCGCAUACGCACUACGGUGGAAAGCCGGGGACCGCAAGGCCUGGCGCUAACAGAUGAGCCCAAGUCGGAUUAGCUAGUUGGUAGGUAACGGCCACCAAGGCGACGAUCCGUAACUGGUCUGAGAGGACGACCAGUCACACCGGAACUGAGACACGGUCCGGACUCCUACGGGAGGCAGCAGUGGAG
rnacentral:rRNA from 1 species